CAGUGUAGAUUGGAGAGAGAGGAGAGAAGCACUAAUUUGUGCCUGCUAAUGGAGAUUGUUAUUUACUUCUGGCAGAUCACAAUUCAUGGCUGCAUGUGGUGAAAUCUCCUUAUUUUGAUGAACUACACUUUCUACAAUAAGGUGGAAGCUUUGUUUAUGAUCAGGGGUCGGACGACAGCAUAUAGCGUUAGUGUUGCUUCGUCGUUAUAGUAUUGGCCG